UACGUAGGUGGCAAGCGUUGUCCGGAAUUAUUGGGCGUAAAGCGCGCGCAGGUGGUUUAAUAAGUCUGAUGUAAAAGCCCACGGCUCAACCGUGGGAGGUCAUUGGAAACUGUUAAACUUGAGUGCAGUAGAGAAAAGUGGAAUUCCUAGUGUAGCGGUGAAAUGCGCAGAGAUUAGGAGGAACACCAGUGGCGAAGGCGGCUUUUUGGCCUGCAACUGACACUGAGGCGGGAAAGCGUGGGGAGGAAACAGG
rnacentral:rRNA from 1 species